rnacentral:lncRNA from 1 species
GACUAGUUGUAGAAUUGUUCUAGUAAUUUAUCUAGAAUAGUUUUUAUUUUGAAUAGUCCAAUUUAAAUUUUAUUUUUUAGAUAUUACAUAUGAUGUAUCAGAUCUGAAAGCAUGUUAAUUAGAUUAAUUUUUGAUAUAUGAGAUGUAUGCAAAGCAUGUAUUAGUUAGAUCUUAAAUUGUAUAUGUGAUAUGUUAAUUUAGAUCUA